UUCCGGUUGAUCCCGCCGGAGGUUACUGCUAUCGAGGUUCGACUAAGCCAUGCGAGUCGAAUGUAGCAAUACAUGGCGUACUGCUCAGUAACACGUGGAUAACCUACCCUUGAGAUGGGAAUAAACCCGGGAAACUGGGUAUAAUACCCGAUAGAUCUCGACUGCUGGAGUGCAUCGAGAUCCAAAGCUCCGGCGCUCAAGGAUGGAUCUGCGGCCUAUCAGGUAGUAGUGGGUGUAGUGUACCUACUAGCCUACGACGGGUACGGGUUGUGAGAGCAAGAGCCCGGAGAUGGAUUCUGAGACACGAAUCCAGGCCCUACGGGGUGCAGCAGGCGCGAAAACUUUACAAUGCUGGAAACAGCGAUAAGGGGACCUCGAGUGCCAGGUUACAAAUCUGGCUGUCGUGAUGCCUAAAAAGCAUUGCAUAGCAAGGGCCGGGCAAGACCGGUGCCAGCCGCCGCGGUAACACCGGCGGCUCGAGUGGUAACCGUUAUUAUUGGGUCUAAAGGGUCUGUAGCCGGCCGGAUAAGUCUCUUGGGAAAUCUGGCAGCUUAACUGUCAGGCUUUCAGGAGAUACUGUCUGGCUCGAGGCCGGGAGAGGUGAGAGGUACUUCAGGGGUAGGGGUGAAAUCUUGUAAUCCUUGAAGGACCACCAGUGGCGAAGGCGUCUCACCAGAACGGACCUGACGGCAAGGGACGAAAGCUAGGGGCACGAACCGGAUUAGAUACCCGGGUAGUCCUAGCCGUAAACGAUACUCGCUAGGUGUCGGCAACGGUGCGACCGUUGUCGGUGCCGUAGGGAAGCCGUGAAGCGAGCCACCUGGGAAGUACGGCCGCAAGGCUGAAACUUAAAGGAAUUGGCGGGGGAGCACCACAACGGGUGGAGCUUGCGGUUUAAUUGGAUUCAACGCCGG
rnacentral:rRNA from 1 species